rnacentral:lncRNA from 1 species
GUGAGGCUGGAAGGGUCUUUGUGUGAGCUCAGGACGGCGCUGGACAGGUGGGCCCUGGCUCCAGCUCCGGCUGCAGCGUCUUCCCCGCGCUCCCGAGCCUAUCCCUCGGGCGCCGGCCUGGGCUGUCCAGCGAGAGGGGCGGAGGGGCAGGGCCCCGGGCUAGGUCCAGGCCCGCAGCUGGCAUCAGGGGGGGCCUGGGUGGGAAGACCGGUUGGGGUGGGGGUGCACAGACCCGGGGAAUCUGAGACGCAAGGUUUCCGGCUCUUGGCCGCUAGUGAGGAAGGCUCGAGGCCGAUCCUGGCCCAAAGCAGGGCGCCGGGCCAUUGUCAGUCCUGGGAAGGGGGAUUGGGAGGAGCCCCAGAGGGGCGGCCAUUCCCUGGGGCGGCGUGGAAGGGAGGCAGCACCUCCAGGCGACAAGUAGAGCUGGGCCCUGGCGGGCUGCCACGGGGGUGUCUGGCAGUCUCUCCUGGGUCUAGGGCUGUUCCUCUGAGGUCACGAGGUGGUCCUUCGGGUGUGUCUGGGUUGGGAAGAUAAAACCAGCACGUGUAAUGUAAUACAUGACAAUGGAAGAUUCUACGUAAUUAAGGGUUAACUCUGAAAUCAGAAGACAAGUUUUCCAAGACUUGGGAAGGUGGAGAGAUCAGAGAUCAGUGAGAGAACAAAGAAUCGGGGUCCAGAUGUCAGGGAUGGAAGUUGGAGAAAGAUGAGGCAGCAGCAGACACUUUCUCCUGUUGGCCUUAAAGAAGCAACCGCCUGUGCUGGGAGAGGGUCACUGGGCUGAGAUUGGUAGGUGGCUCUGGGAGCUGAGGGCCUAAACCUAUGACCACAAGGAACUGAAUUCAUCCCAAAGCCAGAGAGGUGGAAGACGACUCAGAAGAUGCAGAUGCCAAUGCCACAUCCUGGUAAAGGUUCUCGGAAGGACCCAAUGAGACUGGGCUCACUGGGAUAAUCCAGGAUCAUCUCCCAUCUCAAGGUUCUUCAUCGCAUACUUGCAAAGCCCCUUUUGCCAUGUCAGGUAACUUGUUCACAGGUUUGAAGAUUAGAAUGUGGGCAUGUUUGGGGGGCAUAAUUAGGCCUAGCACAAUGCCCAUGUACCCAUCUCCUUGCUUAAACAUUAAACACUUUGCCAAUAUUGUUUCUCCUAUCUCUCACUUUGUUCUCUAAAAAACUCCAGGAAUUUGUUAUUAAAUUUUAUUAAAGCAAAUCCCAGAAAUAAUAUAAUUUGCCUGUAAAUAUGUUAAUAUGUUUCUCUGAGGCCUUUAAAAAUCAUAGCCACUAUGGUAUUAUCGUAAUAAAAUU